AUUGCUUCUCUGCUCCUUGGAGCUAAGCUCAAAGUGUAGUUCUUUGAGCUGUGGUCAAGUGAAAAAUUCUCUAAGUUAUAUCAGUUCUUAUCAGUUUAAUUUCUGAUAUGUUCUUUAUUUGAGAACUGUAUGUUAAAUUGAUUUUUGAAAUGGGGGGCUGGAAUAGGAGCUUGCUCUGUCCACCCCAUGCAUUGACCUGGUAUUGCAGUGUUUCCAGGACUGGUGCAUCUCCU
rnacentral:snRNA from 1 species